GACGAACGCUGGCGGCGUGCUUAACACAUGCAAGUCGAACGGAAAGGCCCUGCUUUUGUGGGGUGCUCGAGUGGCGAACGGGUGAGUAACACGUGAGUAACCUGCCCUUGACUUUGGGAUAACUUCAGGAAACUGGGGCUAAUACCGGAUAGGAGCUCCUGCUGCAUGGUGGGGGUUGGAAAGUUUCGGCGGUUGGGGAUGGACUCGCGGCUUAUCAGCUUGUUGGUGGGGUAGUGGCUUACCAAGGCUUUGACGGGUAGCCGGCCUGAGAGGGUGACCGGCCACAUUGGGACUGAGAUACGGCCCAGACUCCUACGGGAGGCAGCAGUGGGGAAUAUUGCACAAUGGGCGGAAGCCUGAUGCAGCAACGCCGCGUGCGGGAUGACGGCCUUCGGGUUGUAAACCGCUUUCGCCUGUGACGAAGCGUGAGUGACGGUAAUGGGUAAAGAAGCACCGGCUAACUACGUGCCAGCAGCCGCGGUGAUACGUAGGGUGCGAGCGUUGUCCGGAUUUAUUGGGCGUAAAGGGCUCGUAGGUGGUUGAUCGCGUCGGAAGUGUAAUCUUGGGGCUUAACCCUGAGCGUGCUUUCGAUACGGGUUGACUUGAGGAAGGUAGGGGAGAAUGAAAUUCCUGGUGGAGCGGUGGAAUGCGCAGAUAUCAGGAGGAACACCAGUGGCGAAGGCGGUUCUCUGGGCCUUUCCUGACGCUGAGGAGCGAAAGCGUGGGGAGCGAACAGGCUUAGAUACCCUGGUAGUCCACGCUGUAAACGGUGGGUACUAGGUGUGGGGUCCAUUCCACGGGUUCCGUGCCGUAGCUAACGCUUUAAGUACCCCGCCUGGGGGGUACGGCCGCAAGGCUAAAACUCAAAGGAAUUGACGGGGCCCCGCACAAGCGGCGGAGCAUGCGGAUUAAUUCGAUGCAACGCGUAGAACCUUACCUGGGUUUGACAUGGAUCGGGAGUGCUCAGAGAUGGGUGUGCCUCUUUUGGGGUCGGUUCACAGGUGGUGCAUGCCUGUCGUCAGCUCGUGUCGUGAGAUGUUGGGUUAAGUCCCGCAACGAGCGCAACCCUUGUUCACUGUUGCCAGCACGUUAUGGUGGGGACUCAGUGGAGACCGCCGGGGCCAACUCGGAGGAAGGUGGGGAUGACGUCAAGUCAUCAUGCCCCUUAUGUCCAGGGCUUCACGCAUGCUACAAUGGCUGGUACAGAGAGUGGCGAGCCUGUGAGGGUGAGCGAAUCUCGGAAAGCCGGUCUCAGUUCGGAUUGGGGUCUGCAACUCGACCUCAUGAAGUCGGAGUCGCUAGUAAUCGCAGAUCAGCAACGCUGCGGUGAAUACGUUCCCGGGGCU
rnacentral:rRNA from 1 species